GGCCUAAACCAUUCAUUUUGUGUGGCAUGGCUCGAAAGACCCAAGCAUGGUACUGAACCCCGCGUUCAGCGACUCAUGCUUGGGCUAUGCCGGGAAACCGGUAUGGGGCCGCAAGGCCU
rnacentral:sRNA from 1 species